UUUUCACAGGUCUAUGGACUUGGCGUGUGAUCACCAAAACGGCGCGUGAUGUAGAACAACUUCAUCGAUCUAUACACGAGAAAGUUAGGGUUCAUGGCUAUGGGUACACUUAACCCUCACAACACAAAAAAAAGAAGAAGAAAAAUCCCCUUCUCUCAUCUCGUAAUCUGAUUUUUUCCUUCGAGUUUUAAUCAGAUCAUAAGGAAAAUUACUGAAAUUUUCCAGCAAAAAAAAGCCCUCCCAUAUACAAAAAUGGACGCGUAUCAGCAGCAACAACAGCAGCCUCACCGCUACAUUCGACCGCCUCAGCCGCCGCAGCAGCAACAACCACCUGUUCCGGCUGAUCCCUUCCUCCAACAACAACAUUAUUACCAGUACCAGCCACCGCCGCAGCCGCUUCCUCCGAGAGCUGCUGCUCCUCCGCCCCCGGGGUAUUGGUACUCCAAAUCAAUUUCAGUACCAGCAGCAGCAGCAUCAUAAUCAGUCUCAUUCUGCGCCACCGCACCAUCCUCCUACUCAUCCUCCUUCCCCUCAGCAACCGCCUUACCAGUGGGGUCCGCCUACGCAUCCCGAUCAUUCCGUUUAUACCGCCUCCUUCUCUUCCUUUUCCCCGGCCCCUCAUAACGGAAGUAACCACUUCCCUCCACCCCGCCUCCUCCCGUUCAUAGACCUUACAUGCCUCCUUCGCAGAUUCCCAAUACUUUCUCUCCACGUCAGUCAGGAAUGGAGCAACACAAACUGGUCUCAUCACCAAGCCCAAAACAACGUGGAGGAUUGGGGAGCCAAAGCUAGAAUGGGCAAACACUAGGGCUGCAAUGCAGGACCAGCCGUGCAAUCUCAAUUAUUCCAGCUGGCAGGCCAGAAGAGCAAAAUCAUUUUCAUGAUCUAUAUUCACAAGCUGUUGAUUCUCAUUAUAUGGAUGCUCAACAGUCACUACCAAUUUCUAGCUAUCAGCAGUUCCCUGUUCCAUCAGCAUCUCCUCAUGGCCCUCCAGCAACUUAUCCAAGUGAGACUUUGUCUAACAGCUCCAGACCGUCUUCAUAUAUUCCUGAUGCUUGUCCGCCUUACCAUGUUAGAGAUGGAACUUCUCUUAUGGAUCCGAACAGUGGAUUUCUUCACCAAGAAAGUUUGUCUGCCAGUUCAUCUGUUCAUCUGCAGGAGGUACCUUCUAGUUAUUCUUCAGUUUCAGGUAAUAAUUUCACCUAGUAAAUUGAACUUUCUUGUGCAGCUUGUGCUGAAGAACUGCUUCUUUAGACCACAUUUCUACACAUCCUUUUUGUGUUGAAAAAAUAUCAUUCUGGAACCCAUUCGUUAAAGAUAUCUAUUUCUCCAUUCUAUGUUUUUGAAUAGUUUUUUUGGUACUUCUAAACAGGAACUCUUAAGCAACUAUCAUUCAGAAAAACUCAUGAUGUGUAGGGUGUGUAGCCUAACUAAAAUGAUAACGUGACAGACUGGAAUAUGUAUAAACUGAAAGGGUCUGACCCUAGUUCUUUGUACCUUUUCUUUUAAAAUUGUGUUCACACUUUUUUCCUUUUAUUAUUAUUUUUAAAAUGCUUU